AGAACCACAGCUUUGGACAAAAGUCUAUAGCCAGUGCAUUUGAAACUCCCCUUGCACCAGGGCUGACUGUAGCUGGGGGAAGACAUUUUACUCAUUUGCUCUUUCCUUUCAUACAGUCAGCUGGUCCCUCUUCUCAGGUGUAGAUCACCUAUUAUAAUUUUACCUAAUUUUGAUACUCUGAUAAGGAAAGUCCCAGGACUUAUCAGCUGGGAUAGGCCUCACUUACAAGACAGCUCUGUUCAGUAUUUGGAAGAAAGCCUGACAGGUUUCUUCGGAAAAGUGGCCAUCCAUGGAAUGAAUGAAAUGUUCUCUUUCUAUUCCAGGGAUUGCAGUGGCAAAGCUAGGCUAGGUCUUGGAGGCUGGUGUAAGGCGAUGCGGGUGAAGGCAGGAGGCUGAUGGAAAGACUGGGGGGAAGAAAAGCCGAAAUGGAUUCACGGUGCCUUGGAUGAAGGACGAGAGGGGAACUGCAAGCUCCUUCAACUGGUUCUGUCCGGUGAGAAGUGAUCAAGCUUGGGCUGACAAGAGGCUCAGGGAGCCCUCACGUUCUUUCGCUUUUUUACCUGCCAAUCAAACUGCUACAAGACAACACCCUGAUCUGGCAUGGACAUCGCGGGUCCAAGCCUGUAGCCCCAAAUCGGAUAAUCUCUGCAGCUGAUAACAAGCAAAAGAGAAGCCAGGCAACAGCCAUAUUAAAGAAGAAAACAAUCAACUCUGAGAUCCAACUUAGAAAUAAUGUUUCAUUCAAGAUAAGGCUCGUGAUUUAGGAGAUUGUGACCUGGCUUGCAUCAUUCUAAGACUUCUAUCAUCUGUUUUCAAAACCCAAGGAGGACCUCAUUUUCUGUGUGAUAGUUCCUCAUGCUUUGCCAGCCACUGUGUCUUUAAGGAAGCUUGCCAAGAGUUCCUGGCUGGGAAGGACAGUUCGAGUUCAUCAUAGACAAUGAGCUGGCACCACAUUUUAAGUGACUCACCAACCUGGUUGCCCACUUCAAAAUGUCAAGAACCACACUAUCUAAUUGAAAGAACUGUGUUUUAGCAAAGUGUAAUUGGAUCACCUGGCAAGAUCAUCUCAAACUGUGUCUCUGACCUUGCCUUUCAGUGGCUGUUUUGAGCACAAGAGGAGAAAGGAAAUGAUUCCUGAAUUAUAUCUUGUUUUUAAAAAUUAAGAUUAAUUAAUACUUGGUUUUAUGUUCAUUCCAUUGUAGGAACUUCAUGAUUAUUACAAAACAGUCAAAAUAGGUCAUAGCAAAAUGAACGUUUAAGAUUAGGUUAAAACAUUCCUCUGAAAUUUUAGUAUUCACUUUUGAAGUGUCAAUUACUAUAUUUCUGUAUCUUUUUUUCUUGGCUUAGAGUCAAGAUGAAAAAUGAUAUUUGAAUCAAAGACAUUGUUUUGUUAUAUAGCCACUCCUUUCUAAAAUGCAAACCCACCCUCCCCUCACCAAUGCUUUAUUAUUUGUGCACACACACACACACACACAGACAUACACAGAACCAGCACCCAAAUGGUAGAGGAGGUCCUUUUGAGACUUCUAGGACGUGGAUCAUGUAAGCAGUAGAUGAGAAAAUGAAGUAAGAGGUAUAGAGCAAUAACAAUAAAAGUCAAUGAUUUCAUUUUACAGAAAAAGUUAUUGUGUAGUACUCAGAUAUUUUUAAAAGCAAGUAUUAUUAUGACUAAAGUAUAUUAUACUUCUAAAUUAUUAUGAUUCUCAUCUAAUUUCAAGCCACACAUAGGAGCCAUUUGAAAGCAUUUUGUAUUACAACCUAUCAACAAAAAUCAACUAAUAGUUUUAUAAUGUGAAAAGGUUUACCCCAUGGGGUAUUAAAAUUUUUAUCUGCAAGUAUUUCUAUUGUUGUGAGACUUUAGGACAAGACAACAUUUGGUAUUAACAUAGAAUAUUCUAUGGCUUUUUUAGCUUUAAAGUUCAUUACUCUAAAAUAAAGUACACGUGGUAUUUU